UAAUGGGGAAUCAAAUCAAGUCUGGAAGUGUUACAGGAUGGAAGAGUCAGCCUACAGAUGAAAAAACACUGAGAGUGCAUUACCAUUAAGGUAUGAGGUAAAGUAAUAGAGUAUGCACAUUGUCUAAUGAGAAGUACCAUCUUGUGUUAAUAAAUCCAGUACAACAGCAAUCCUUUAUAGUUCUGUCACAGCUAGAAACCUCAAAUAAUUCUGCUUCUCUGUCUAAAGAACAACUUGUCCUUUACGUUCAGAGUGUUGGGGAAACUGGGUACUUAAAUGGCCCUAAAGAUGUUUUAAUUUUGCUGCCAUUGCAGAGAUGAACAUCAUACAUGGACUCUUUAGGUCUAAUCUACCCAAAAAAAUUUUAUCCAAUAGGAAAGGAUUUUCAUGUACUGGGAACACAACUAUCAACAAUGCAACAUUGUACAGCUUCCACCAGAAGUUGAAUCUAUGAGUCAUGUAAGUUACAUGAUCAACAGUUGAUAUGUUUAACGGUGUUGUUUUUCUUUUCUCAAUAUAGGUUAAUAGUAACAUUGGAUCUGAAAAAAUUCUUGGUUGGGGCAAGACACUGAAUAAAUUGUAUUGAUUGGAUGGAUGACAUGACAUUUCUAUACUUAAUUCGGAUUCCCCAGACGGUAUUUGAUAUUAAAAAAAUUGAAGUGCAUAUCUGGGCUCCCUUCUUUUCUGAAGCCCCGUUUCCCCUUGACUCGUAAUAAGCCCGUAGGGGGUCAUGCCCCUACUGUACGGUAUAUAUAAAAACAACAUAUACCGAGGUUUGGAGGGCUCUGGCCGGAAAGGGGACGUGGGGUGCCGCUUAGUCCGAUGAUGUGUUCACGGAGGGUGACGUGGCUGCCCACAAAUCCGAACUAAAGGUUAAUCGCUCCUGUAAAAAUGUUCCAAAUCUUCAGCUCUUCUUCCGGCUUCUCUUAGCCAAUCACCGGGUAAUCUCCCCGGUGGGUCAACAAGGCAGUGUCUCCCCCUGCCUGGGUUGACGGCAACUUUUGAAAGGGCUAUUGUGCCUUUUUAAAGUUGCAAAAAUAAUUGUA